AUUCACAUCAAAUAUUAAAAAUACUCUCGUAUCAAAAUGUGGACCAACAAGUUUUUCUUCCUUCUUACAGUUGCAUGCAUGGCUGUGUUCGGUACAGCUCAAACGUUGCCUUCGAUACCUGGACAGGACCCAGCAGAUUGUUUGUCAUCGUUGGAACUUAUUCCCAACUGUAUCUCAGAAAUUUUUGGAUCGAUAAUAAGUGGACAAAUCGGGACUAUUGGUCACUCUUGCUGCCAUGCCUUUUUGGGUCUCAAUGCAGAUUGUGUCACUCAGACGUUUGCCUUUGCUCCUCUCUUCCCUCUGACUCUACGGGAUCAUUGUUCCAAACAAUCGUAAUGCCAUAAUUAUCUACAUGUUCUAGGUCAUAAAUGUGCUAUCAAACAGUGUUAUGUUUCGGCUUAAGUAACAACUUCCAUGUAAACCCUAUGUGAUCAACUGAUCAUCUUUAUCCAUAUUUCGUGUUGAUAUAACAUGUGGAUAACUAUAUAACAAUAAUAAUAAUAAUAAUCUAAAGGAUAAGUCUAAACAUAAACAUGUUUGAUUCCUCAUAAAGCCGCUGUGUUACGUUCUUCUUUGACUUUGGUUGGUCACGUUAAUACCAUAAAAUGUGUUACUAUCUUAUUUUUUCUUUGAACUAUUUCUGUGUUACUAUCUUGUUCACACAAUAUCUUUCGGUAUGCAAGAGUGAGUGACGGACUUAUUACUAUUUAUCUCCCUCUUUAGCAUUGGUUGGCCUGAUUCAAAAGAUGGCCACCACUUUAAGCAAAAAUUAAGAUUAUUGCAGAUCAGUUGCAGAGUUACUGAAAAACAAAUAGUACGAAACAAUAUGUACGAAUUAUAUCAUAAUAAACCCUACAGAAUAAUGUUUGGACUUUGGAUAGUAAUCGCAAAAACAUAACUAAAAGCCCCAUAUAAUCCGCGUCUUGCGCACAAUUACAAUAGUUAUUCGUUUCAAAUCCAAGCACAAAGAAUGCUUAUGUAAAUCUUUUUUCUUGAUUAACGCAUAUAUAAAUCUUGAAUGACAGAUUAUAUAUAUUCUAAUUGUCAUUAUGUUAUUCAUUUUUUUAAUUACAUAAAAACACCCAGACUAAUAAUAAUGUGAUAUUUUUUUAAUGUGAUAUCGAAGGGGAUGGUGUGUUCACUAAUCUUUUCAAAAAAAAAUUAUUUACCAAUUUAUCUGUUCAAAAUAGUUUUGGUUCAUCUUAUUUAAAUCACAAAUAUCUUAAUAUGUAUCCCCUAUAUAUUAAUCCUGGAGCAUUGCAACAUAUUUUCGUAGCCACGUGUCAUCACGAGGAUGACUCUUAGAAUUGUUAGAAAAAUAAGUUGGUCCAUAUAAACAUAUACUAUGUUUUUUAUUAAAGUAACUAUCAAUUUAAUUAGUAGUGUACAAAAUAAUAUUUUUUCUUUCCUUAAAUAAAAGCUACGGAAUUACCUAAUAUGGUUAAGAUAUAUAUUUUAACAAUUUUUCUAACCUCUCAUUUUUUUGUUUAAUUUUAUACUAUUAAAAGAAAUUAAACAAUCACAUUAAGCAUAUAAUAAAAAAUUUAGAUUUUUUCUUAUAUGUUAUAUUUUGAAUUUUUAAAAGUGACUAUAAAUUACAAAAAAUAGUAAAAAUCUCACAUUGAAAAUUUUGUGAUAAAUGGUUUAACUUUUUUUUUUUGUUCAAACAAGAUACAAAUGAUGAUCAUAUAUAUAUCUUAGGGGUGGGCGUUCAGAUACACGUUCGGGUUCGUAUCGGGUAUUUCAGUAUAAAGGCAUAAAACCCGUUCGGAUAUUUCUACACUUCGAGUCGGGUUCGGGUAUUUUAUGUUCGGGUUCGAAUAUUUUGGGCCGGGUUCGGAUAUUUAAAUUUUGAAGAAAAAAUAAAUAAAUUAUUUAUUGUUUAAUUUUUUUGUAUUUAAAAUAUAUUUUAACUGAUUUUCUANNNNNNNNNNNNNNNNNNNNNNNNNNNNNNNNNNNNNNNNNNNNNNNNNNNNNNNNNNNNNNNNNNNNNNNNNNNNNNNNNNNNNNNNNNNNNNNNNNNNNNNNNNNNNNNNNNNNNNNNNNNNNNNNNNNNNNNNNNNNNNNNNNNNNNNNNNNNNNNNNNNNNNNNNNNNNNNNNNNNNNNNNNNNNNNNNNNNNNNNNNNNNNNNNNNNNNNNNNNNNNNNNNNNNNNNNNNNNNNNNNNNNNNNNNNNNNNNNNNNNNNNNNNNNNNNNNNNNNNNNNNNNNNNNNNNNNNNNNNNNNNNNNNNNNNNNNNNNNNNNNNNNNNNNNNNNNNNNNNNNNNNNNNNNNNNNNNNNNNNNNNNNNNNNNNNNNNNNNNNNNNNNNNNNNNNNNNNNNNNNNNNNNNNNNNNNNNNNNNNNNNNNNNNNNNNNNNNNNNNNNNNNNNNNNNNNNNNNNNNNNNNNNNNNNNNNNNNNNNNNNNNNNNNNNNNNNNNNNNNCAAAGUGGAGUGUGAUCCCUUCCGACGAACGAGAGUUGUGGUUUCGUCAGUUUGCGGUAUAGUAACUCUUCAUUUUUUUAAAGUUUGUACAGUUUUUUAAAUAUAUUUACUUAUUAAAUUGUGUUUGUUUUGUAGCAAGAGUUCAACUGGCACUCCGAUUUUACGGAAACAGUCCGUAAGAAAUUCAACGAAAAGCCCAUGGACUCUUAAACAAAGCAGAUAAACGCGUGGAAAACAGUUUGGUAGAAGAACAAGAAGCCACGGUUCAUCAACGGGGCGGUGUGGGAGCAGUUGAUAGCUCAUUGGGAGAAGGACGAAACUGCAGAGACGUCUUCUAGGAACUCCAGGAACCGUGCAGGUCUUCAACUACCGUAUGAAGUGAUAGAUGUAUGUAUUGACAACUGCAUGAUCUACUGGAGAGCGGAUGAGACUAAAAAUAUCUAUUUACUUACUUUAAAUAUUUUUGUAGGCGGUUCCUAAAAGGAAAGGAGGCCGUUUAGUUGGGUUGGCCCGUCGUGCUUCUUCGUAUCCGGCAUCUUCUUCGCAAGCUCCGUAUGCCGAUCCCAUGAUUCUCGAGGAGCUACAUGACAAAGAUGAACGGAUUGGGGCAUUGGAGGAGCAGAACACCACUAUCCUUUCGGAGAAUGCCACUAUCCGUUCGGAGAAUGCCACUAUCCUUGCUGAGUUGGCAUCCCAGAAGAAGUUCAACACCGAGAUUAUGCAGAAGCUAGAUCGUUUGAUGUCUUCGAGUUCAUCUUAGUUUAUUUCGGCUUUUUAAAACUUUCGGAAUGUUUUUUUUCUCUAUUUCAGUUUGUAUGAAUUUUAAACUUUAUGAAUAUUUUUUUCCUAUUUCGGUUUUUAUGAAUUUAAAUUUUAUAAUAUUAUUAGUUUUAAAUUUCUGAUUUUUUAAAUUUAUUAAUAUCAAAAAAUAUAUUUAAAUGCAAAAUUAAUUUGUAAAAAAAAAUGGGUAUAUACCGACGGACAAUGGUCGUCGAAUAUACCGACGGACAUAUAUCAGUCGGAAUUUACCGACAAACCACAUUUCCAUCGGAAUAUACCGACGAACGAGGUUCGUCGGUAUAUUCCGACGACCGUUGUCCGUCGGUAAAUUCCGACGCCCAAAGUCCGUUGGAAUACACCGAGGAACACUCUACGUCGGAAUUGUCCGACGAACGUUCUCCGUCGGUACGUAGUUUUUCCGAUGAACUCUGGUCUCGUGUAUCCGCAUCGUAAUAUCGUCGGAAGUUCGUCAGAAUAACGUUUCUCGGUAUCCGUCAGAAAGUCGUCGGAAGUUCUGACAAAAUUCCGACGAAUUUUUUUUUUCCAACGAAACGAUACCGACGGACGGGUUCGUCGGAAAUUCGUCGGAAUCGGUCUAUUCCGACAAAUUUCCGACGAUUUCGGCCAUCAGAAUCCCCUUGUUUUCUUGUAGUGUUAAUAUAUUCGGCAUCAACAAAUAAUGAAACUCUAAACCCUAAACACUGAACCCUAAACUCUAGAAUUAACACUAAACCCAAGGAUUAAUUCGGAAUCUAAAGGUUAACCCUAAACCCAAGGGUUAACCUUAAACACAAUGGUUAUCUCUAAAUACUAGGGUUUAACAGUAAACCAUGAAUCCAAUGGUUAACACUAAACCCAAAGGUUAAUAAAAAAAACCCAAGAGUUAGCACUAAACCUAAGGUUUAAUAUUAAACCCAAGGGUUAACACGAAAUCCAAGGGUUAACACUAAACUCUAAAUUAAAGAGUUAACCUUGGAGUUUAAGGUUUAGGAUUAACCCUAGAGUUUAGUGUUAACCCUAGACUUUAAAUUUUAGUGUUAACCCUAGAGUUUAUGAUUAACCCUAGAGUUUAAGGUUUAGUUUUUAGGGUUUAAAGUUUUGUUGCUGGCAUUAACAACGUGAUUUUUUUUUUUUGUUUUCUGCUAAUUAAUAACAUUUUCUGAUUUUUUCAUAAAUAGAAGAUGACGUGGCUAUUUCUUAUUGGUUAUAAAUUUAGAGCUCACCCUAGGAUUAACACUAAACCCUAAAAAUUGGGGUUAACCUUAAACCAUGAACACUAAACCCACAAUCUAUACACUAAACCCAAGGAUUAACACUAAACCCUAAAUCCAAGGUUCAAUCCAAGUAGUAACGCCAAGUCAUCUCUAUUUUUUUGUAAAACUCUAAUUUGAUGUACCGGGUAUUCGUCAACUAAAUUUUUUACAAUACCGGAUAUACAUCUACUAAACCGGAUAACAAGUGUUGAGAUGUAAUUUGAUGAUAUUACAUGAUUUGCAUAAGUGUGAGGUCAUUUGAAAGAUUAUGAAUAAGUCAACAACAUACUGAUAUAUUCAGCAUCAACAAAUAAUAAUGUGUUGAAUAUGUAUUAUAACUGGAUAAGACAAAAGUAAUCUGGAUUAUGACAAUAAUAUCUAAAUAUAAAAGAUGGAGUAUAUGUACUCGUGAUUCCAAACGGUACACAGUUAAACCAGAUAAAACUUGCUGGUUAAUAGAUCAGCCAAGCUAAACAUUUUAGAAAUGACUUUAUGACCACGACUGAGUCUUCUGGAUCCAAACUCGUUAAAAUGUUUCCAAGAUCCUCAAGCUUCUUUGUCUUGUGGUGCCAGUCAUAAUCAUCAACAACCUCGUAUCAUUCUUGAAAAUUCAGACAAAACAUACAAACAUUGCCUGUUUCAAAGGAUCAUACAUGAAAAGCAGCAAAACUUAAGAUUAUAUGAAAAGCAGCAAGAACAAGAAAAAUACAUAAAAGACCGAAAGUUCUUGUUGAAGCUACCAUACUCUUUAAAGAGCUGUUCCAAAUGAGGCUUACAAUAUAAGACACUUUCCAUUGAUGCAUAUUUUUUUCAGCUAAAAAGUCUAGGCGAAACACUAAUCAAACAGAGAGAAUGCAAAAUCCAAAACCGAUAACCAAAAAAGAAGAAACCAAAUUAACCUUAAGUAUUUUUUCAAGCAGGAGAAACAUAUCUCACAACUAAACGUUGACAACGCCAUAGCAGCUCCAGCUCCAUCGAUGAUCACAUCAAUUAAACCACAUAGAUAUGAAUAAUUAAUUUUGGGCUGCUAUACUUUGUUGGAGCACAAAAUUGCUGUAUUAAAAAGAAGAAAAAAAUUGUUAUAUAAUGACGAUAGAGAACCCAUAAGAGCAAUUUUGAAGACUGAUACAUUAGAACUCUAAUGUCCCUGUCGGCGAACAUCAUAUCAGACAGAUCUACACGGGCUUCUUCACAGCCACUCACCGGAAGUUGAACGGACCGAGAACCCAUAAGAGCAAUUUUGAAGACGAUAUUUUUUCAGUGUAAAAGGGAGAAUGUUAGGAAGAUGAAAGAACGAGUGAGAGAACGAUAAACAUUAAACAGAUGAACUCUAUGGUUUCUUGCAAAACAUUGAAAGUUUUUUAACAUAUGAACUCUCUGGUUUCUUGCAGAACAUUGAAAGUUUUCAUGAAAAAACUUUCACGUCUUUUCAGAAUUAAUGCACAAACGUGUUUGUGUCAGACUCUUCCUUUCAUAUAUGUGACCGGCUACACAGGGACAGCGUCGCCAUUAUAAAAAAUUAAACAGUACAAUGUCCAUCUGCCUAAUUAAAUAAGUUUCCAUAGUUAUCUACUGCAAUUUCCCUAAAAUACUUAAUUGACUAAAAAUAAAUAUUUGGUUUGUUUGGGCAAAGGGCAUUUGAGAGAAAUCACACCAAAAAAGUACUCUACAAGUUGGAAGUAUGUUCAAACGUAAAUAGAAGAUGAGAAAGUAUGUCAUAUUGUAUUUUUUUCAAUACCAUUUAUGGUCUUUGUCUUCUUCUGUAAGGAAAAAAAUGAAAAUAUUGAACACCAAAUCUGAGCAGAACACAAAAAAGACAAACGAUUAAAGGUUUUUAAUCAGAAACAUGAUUUGUACAUGUUCAGAGAACUCGAGAAUUUUUUUCUCAAAUCUCUAAAAGAUUUUUAAUCUCUAACUAAGACACCUACAGACCCGCAUUGAGACGACACCAUUCUAUUGGGAAAAAAAUCAACAAAUAUUUGGAUUUGUGAGCAUGAUGCUUAUGGUAUGUAGACAAACCUUUUUAUAGCUGUAUGUACCGCCUUGAAGAGAAGAGGGAUUUAUUGAAUGUGAAAUCGUGGUUGUAGUAUGUCAAAGAAGUUAAGAAGUUCGUUAAUGGCAGACAAUCAAUUCAUCGCGCUUAACUGUUCCGGGGAGAAAAACAUGAGAUGAAACGACCCCAAGACUUCUCGAUAAAGAGAAUCAUCAUCAGAUUCAUCACGAUUCAUCUCGAAUAGCUCCCCCGAAACGUUUUCGUUGAUUAGAAGAGAAGAAAAAAAUCGGGAUUGAAGAUUCACAAAGCCAUUCUUCCCGUGGAAUGAACAUCCUGAAACUCCAUAGCUGAUAUUAGAGAACGAAGAAAAAGAUUCUUGGAUUCAUUGUGGAAGAAGAACAUGAACCCUAAAAUUUAGUGGGCUGGUGUCGCUGUAUAUUGGGCUGGCUAAAGGGAUUGAGCAAAAAGCCCACAAAAUCUGAAGGAAAUGCUGGAGACAAUAUGCACAGCAUCAGGGACAGGUGUCGCGCUCUCCUUUCCCUAUUUGAUGACAUGGCGCAAGGAGAUAGAGAGAAUGGUCUUCUUUAUAUUAUAACAAGUUGGGGGGCGGGGGAGGGGUCUAAAGGCACGUAUUUGGCUCAAACUAGCAUUGUAGAUCAACCAGAUCAAAUGGAACAAGCCGAUCUGAACGGAAAAAAUAAUGUUUAUGCAGAUCAAUUGCAAUUAUUCCGAGUAAAUCAUAAUAACCAGGAUAUUGCUAAACAAAUCAUAAUAAACUGUAUAGAAAGAUACUGAUUUUCUCAUCGAAUAUUAGAUAAUGAGAAGAAAAAGUAAAAUUUGAAAUAGUUUUGUAAACUUAAAGAAGUUGUAGAAGAAUAAUGAAUUAUCAAGAGGAAUGAAAAAUAAUAAGGGUCCGAUUGGUAAUGGCUGUAGCUUUAAAAAAAUUGCUGUAGAAAAAAAUAUGUAGACUUUUUGUUGUGGCUUUAGAUUUUGUUGUUUUAGAAUUUUAUAGAAAACUCCAAAAAAUUGCUCUGGAUUUUUGGCUCUACAGAGCACUUGUACAGCUUUAGGUUAUUUUGUGAUUUUGAAAUUUUUAUUAAAGUUUGAUUGUUUUGAAUUUAGUGCUGUAGAAAUAAAUGGGGUUAUGAACAGCACCUACAGCUACUACCAAUCACACGCUAAUUAACAGGAAACGCCAACAAUAAGAAACAAACUGUUAACCCUUGAUUUGGGGUCAUCCCAAGUGUGCCUACCUGUGUUAGUUCACAAAGAAACCGUUCACAAAAUGCAAUGUAGUGAAAUUUCACAUUUGUUAUUCGUCUAUAUAUAUAUCCAACCACUGACUACUACUAGAUUCACAUCAAAUAUUAAAAAUACUCUCGUAUCAAAAUGUGGACCAACAAGUUUUUCUUCCUUCUUACAGUUGCAUGCAUGGCUGUGUUCGGUACAGCUCAAACGUUGCCUUCGAUACCUGGACAGGACCCAGCAGAUUGUUUGUCAUCGUUGGAACUUAUUCCCAACUGUAUCUCAGAAAUUUUUGGAUCGAUAAUAAGUGGACAAAUCGGGACUAUUGGUCACUCUUGCUGCCAUGCCUUUUUGGGUCUCAAUGCAGAUUGUGUCACUCAGACGUUUGCCUUUGCUCCUCUCUUCCCUCUGACUCUACGGGAUCAUUGUUCCAAACAAUCGUAAUGCCAUAAUUAUCUACAUGUUCUAGGUCAUAAAUGUGCUAUCAAACAGUGUUAUGUUUCGGCUUAAGUAACAACUUCCAUGUAAACCCUAUGUGAUCAACUGAUCAUCUUUAUCCAUAUUUCGUGUUGAUAUAACAUGUGGAUAACUAUAUAACAAUAAUAAUAAUAAUAAUCUAAAGGAUAAGUCUAAACAUAAACAUGUUUGAUUCCUCAUAAAGCCGCUGUGUUACGUUCUUCUUUGACUUUGGUUGGUCACGUUAAUACCAUAAAAUGUGUUACUAUCUUAUUUUUUCUUUGAACUAUUUCUGUGUUACUAUCUUGUUCACACAAUAUCUUUCGGUAUGCAAGAGUGAGUGACGGACUUAUUACUAUUUAUCUCCCUCUUUAGCAUUGGUUGGCCUGAUUCAAAAGAUGGCCACCACUUUAAGCAAAAAUUAAGAUUAUUGCAGAUCAGUUGCAGAGUUACUGAAAAACAAAUAGUACGAAACAAUAUGUACGAAUUAUAUCAUAAUAAACCCUACAGAAUAAUGUUUGGACUUUGGAUAGUAAUCGCAAAAACAUAACUAAAAGCCCCAUAUAAUCCGCGUCUUGCGCACAAUUACAAUAGUUAUUCGUUUCAAAUCCAAGCACAAAGAAUGCUUAUGUAAAUCUUUUUUCUUGAUUAACGCAUAUAUAAAUCUUGAAUGACAGAUUAUAUAUAUUCUAAUUGUCAUUAUGUUAUUCAUUUUUUUAAUUACAUAAAAACACCCAGACUAAUAAUAAUGUGAUAUUUUUUUAAUGUGAUAUCGAAGGGGAUGGUGUGUUCACUAGGAUUAACACUAAACCUUAAAAAUUAGGGUUAACCUUAAACCAUGAACACUAAACCCACAAUCUAUACACUAAACCCAAGGAUUAACACUAAACCCUAAAUCCAAGGUUCAAUCCAAGUAGUAACGCCAAGUCAUCUCUAUUUUUUUGUAAAACUCUAAUUUGAUGUACCGGGUAUUCGUCAACUAAAUUUUUUACAAUACCGGAUAUACAUCUACUAAACCGGAUAACAAGUGUUGAGAUGUAAUUUGAUGAUAUUACAUGAUUUGCAUAAGUGUGAGGUCAUUUGAAAGAUUAUGAAUAAGUCAACAACAUACUGAUAUAUUCAGCAUCAACAAAUAAUAAUGUGUUGAAUAUGUAUUAUAACUGGAUAAGACAAAAGUAAUCUGGAUUAUGACAAUAAUAUCUAAAUAUAAAAGAUGGAGUAUAUGUACUCGUGAUUCCAAACGGUACACAGUUAAACCAGAUAAAACUUGCUGGUUAAUAGAUCAGCCAAGCUAAACAUUUUAGAAAUGACUUUAUGACCACGACUGAGUCUUCUGGAUCCAAACUCGUUAAAAUGUUUCCAAGAUCCUCAAGCUUCUUUGUCUUGUGGUGCCAGUCAUAAUCAUCAACAACCUCGUAUCAUUCUUGAAAAUUCAGACAAAACAUACAAACAUUGCCUGUUUCAAAGGAUCAUACAUGAAAAGCAGCAAAACUUAAGAUUAUAUGAAAAGCAGCAAGAACAAGAAAAAUACAUAAAAGACCGAAAGUUCUUGUUGAAGCUACCAUACUCUUUAAAGAGCUGUUCCAAAUGAGGCUUACAAUAUAAGACACUUUCCAUUGAUGCAUAUUUUUUUCAGCUAAAAAGUCUAGGCGAAACACUAAUCAAACAGAGAGAAUGCAAAAUCCAAAACCGAUAACCAAAAAAGAAGAAACCAAAUUAACCUUAAGUAUUUUUUCAAGCAGGAGAAACAUAUCUCACAACUAAACGUUGACAACGCCAUAGCAGCUCCAGCUCCAUCGAUGAUCACAUCAAUUAAACCACAUAGAUAUGAAUAAUUAAUUUUGGGCUGCUAUACUUUGUUGGAGCACAAAAUUGCUGUAUUAAAAAGAAGAAAAAAAUUGUUAUAUAAUGACGAUAGAGAACCCAUAAGAGCAAUUUUGAAGACUGAUACAUUAGAACUCUAAUGUCCCUGUCGGCGAACAUCAUAUCAGACAGAUCUACACGGGCUUCUUCACAGCCACUCACCGGAAGUUGAACGGACCGAGAACCCAUAAGAGCAAUUUUGAAGACGAUAUUUUUUCAGUGUAAAAGGGAGAAUGUUAGGAAGAUGAAAGAACGAGUGAGAGAACGAUAAACAUUAAACAGAUGAACUCUAUGGUUUCUUGCAAAACAUUGAAAGUUUUUUAACAUAUGAACUCUCUGGUUUCUUGCAGAACAUUGAAAGUUUUCAUGAAAAAACUUUCACGUCUUUUCAGAAUUAAUGCACAAACGUGUUUGUGUCAGACUCUUCCUUUCAUAUAUGUGACCGGCUACACAGGGACAGCGUCGCCAUUAUAAAAAAUUAAACAGUACAAUGUCCAUCUGCCUAAUUAAAUAAGUUUCCAUAGUUAUCUACUGCAAUUUCCCUAAAAUACUUAAUUGACUAAAAAUAAAUAUUUGGUUUGUUUGGGCAAAGGGCAUUUGAGAGAAAUCACACCAAAAAAGUACUCUACAAGUUGGAAGUAUGUUCAAACGUAAAUAGAAGAUGAGAAAGUAUGUCAUAUUGUAUUUUUUUCAAUACCAUUUAUGGUCUUUGUCUUCUUCUGUAAGGAAAAAAAUGAAAAUAUUGAACACCAAAUCUGAGCAGAACACAAAAAAGACAAACGAUUAAAGGUUUUUAAUCAGAAACAUGAUUUGUACAUGUUCAGAGAACUCGAGAAUUUUUUUCUCAAAUCUCUAAAAGAUUUUUAAUCUCUAACUAAGACACCUACAGACCCGCAUUGAGACGACACCAUUCUAUUGGGAAAAAAAUCAACAAAUAUUUGGAUUUGUGAGCAUGAUGCUUAUGGUAUGUAGACAAACCUUUUUAUAGCUGUAUGUACCGCCUUGAAGAGAAGAGGGAUUUAUUGAAUGUGAAAUCGUGGUUGUAGUAUGUCAAAGAAGUUAAGAAGUUCGUUAAUGGCAGACAAUCAAUUCAUCGCGCUUAACUGUUCCGGGGAGAAAAACAUGAGAUGAAACGACCCCAAGACUUCUCGAUAAAGAGAAUCAUCAUCAGAUUCAUCACGAUUCAUCUCGAAUAGCUCCCCCGAAACGUUUUCGUUGAUUAGAAGAGAAGAAAAAAAUCGGGAUUGAAGAUUCACAAAGCCAUUCUUCCCGUGGAAUGAACAUCCUGAAACUCCAUAGCUGAUAUUAGAGAACGAAGAAAAAGAUUCUUGGAUUCAUUGUGGAAGAAGAACAUGAACCCUAAAAUUUAGUGGGCUGGUGUCGCUGUAUAUUGGGCUGGCUAAAGGGAUUGAGCAAAAAGCCCACAAAAUCUGAAGGAAAUGCUGGAGACAAUAUGCACAGCAUCAGGGACAGGUGUCGCGCUCUCCUUUCCCUAUUUGAUGACAUGGCGCAAGGAGAUAGAGAGAAUGGUCUUCUUUAUAUUAUAACAAGUUGGGGGGCGGGGGAGGGGUCUAAAGGCACGUAUUUGGCUCAAACUAGCAUUGUAGAUCAACCAGAUCAAAUGGAACAAGCCGAUCUGAACGGAAAAAAUAAUGUUUAUGCAGAUCAAUUGCAAUUAUUCCGAGUAAAUCAUAAUAACCAGGAUAUUGCUAAACAAAUCAUAAUAAACUGUAUAGAAAGAUACUGAUUUUCUCAUCGAAUAUUAGAUAAUGAGAAGAAAAAGUAAAAUUUGAAAUAGUUUUGUAAACUUAAAGAAGUUGUAGAAGAAUAAUGAAUUAUCAAGAGGAAUGAAAAAUAAUAAGGGUCCGAUUGGUAAUGGCUGUAGCUUUAAAAAAAUUGCUGUAGAAAAAAAUAUGUAGACUUUUUGUUGUGGCUUUAGAUUUUGUUGUUUUAGAAUUUUAUAGAAAACUCCAAAAAAUUGCUCUGGAUUUUUGGCUCUACAGAGCACUUGUACAGCUUUAGGUUAUUUUGUGAUUUUGAAAUUUUUAUUAAAGUUUGAUUGUUUUGAAUUUAGUGCUGUAGAAAUAAAUGGGGUUAUGAACAGCACCUACAGCUACUACCAAUCACACGCUAAUUAACAGGAAACGCCAACAAUAAGAAACAAACUGUUAACCCUUGAUUUGGGGUCAUCCCAAGUGUGCCUACCUGUGUUAGUUCACAAAGAAACCGUUCACAAAAUGCAAUGUAGUGAAAUUUCACAUUUGUUAUUCGUCUAUAUAUAUAUCCAACCACUGACUACUACUAGAUUCACAUCAAAUAUUAAAAAUACUCUCGUAUCAAAAUGUGGACCAACAAGUUUUUCUUCCUUCUUACAGUUGCAUGCAUGGCUGUGUUCGGUACAGCUCAAACGUUGCCUUCGAUACCUGGACAGGACCCAGCAGAUUGUUUGUCAUCGUUGGAACUUAUUCCCAACUGUAUCUCAGAAAUUUUUGGAUCGAUAAUAAGUGGACAAAUCGGGACUAUUGGUCACUCUUGCUGCCAUGCCUUUUUGGGUCUCAA
rnacentral:lncRNA from 1 species